AUCCUGCUGACGAGUCCCAAAUAGGACGAAACACGCGUCCUGGAU
rnacentral:hammerhead_ribozyme from 1 species